rnacentral:rRNA from 1 species
ACGGCUCAGUAACACGUAGUCAACAUGCCCAGGGGACGUGCAUAACCUCGGGAAACUGAGGAUAAUACCCCAUAGGAAAAGAGGUUUGGAAUAAUCCUUGACCUAAAUCUAUAUGGCCCCUGGAUUGGACUGCGGCCGAUCAGGCUGUUGGUGAGGUAAUGGCCCACCAAACCUGUAACCGGUACGGGCUCUGAGAGGAGGAGCCCGGAGAUGGGCACUGAGACAAGGGCCCAGGCCCUAUGGGGCGCAGCAGGCGCGAAACCUCUGCAAUAGGCGAAAGCUUGACAGGGUUACUCUGAGUGAUUUCCGUUAAGGAGAUCUUUUGGCACCUCUAAAAAUGGUGCAGAAUAAGGGGUGGGCAAGUCUGGUGUCGGCCGCCGCGGUAAUACCAGCACCCCGAGUGGUCGGGACGAUUAUUGGGCCUAAAGCGUUCGUAGCCGGUUUGGUAAAUCUCUUGUGAAAUUGUUCGGCUUAACCGGACAGCGUGCAGGAGACACUGCCAAGCCCGAGACCCGAUGGCGAAGGCAUCACACGAGAACGGAUCUGACGGUGAGGAACGAAAGCCAGGGGAGCGAACCGGAUUAGAUACCCGAGUAGUCCUGGCCGUAAACGCUGUGAGCUAGGUGUCGCGUAUCUCACGAAGAUGCGCGGUGUCGAAAUGAAGAUGCUAAGCUCACCGCCUGGGAAGUACGGUCGCAAGACUGAAACUUUAAGGAAUUGGGAGGCGUGUGAAGUAUGUCGUGGGGACUGGUAAAAUGGGAUAAUCCACGAUAGACUACGGCGGGGGAGCACGGGAGGCGUAAGAAGUAUUCCAUGGGGACUGGUAAAAUGGGAUAAUCCAUGGAAGACUACGGCGGGGGAGCAC